rnacentral:rRNA from 1 species
ACUGCUCAGUAACACGUGGAUAACCUGCCCUUGGGUCCGGCAUAACCCCGGGAAACUGGGGAUAAUUCCGGAUAACGCACAUAUGCUGGAAUGCUUUAUGCGUAAAAUGGAUUCGUCUGCCCAAGGAUGGGUCUGCGGCCUAUCAGGUAGUAGUGGGUGUAAUGUACCUACUAGCCAACAACGGGUAAGGGUUGUGAGAGCAAGAGCCCGGAGAUGGAUUCUGAGACAUGAAUCCAGGCCCUACGGGGCGCAGCAGGCGCGAAAACUUUACAAUGCGGGAAACCGUGAUAAGGGGACACCGAGUGCCAACAUCAUAUGCUGGCUGUCCGGGUGUGUAAAAUACACCCGUUAGCAAGGGCCGGGCAAGACCGGUGCCAGCCGCCGCGGUAACACCGGCGGCCCGAGUGGUGAUCGUGAUUAUUGGGUCUAAAGGGUCCGUAGCCGGUUUGGUCAGUCCUCCGGGAAAUCUGACGGCUUAACCGUUAGGCUUUCGGGGGAUACUGCCAGGCUUGGAACCGGGAGAGGUAAGAGGUACUACAGGGGUAGGAGUGAAAUCUUGUAAUCCCUGUGAGACCACCUGUGGCGAAGGCGUCUUACCAGAACGGGUUCGACGGUGAGGGACGAAGGCUGGGGGCACGAACCGGAUUAGAUACCCGGGUAGUCCCAGCCGUAAACGAUGCUCGCUAGGUGUCAGGCAUGGCGCGACCGUGUCUGGUGCCGCAGGGAAGCCGUGAAGCGAGCCACCUGGGAAGUACGGCCGCAAGGCUGAAACUUAAAGGAAUUGGCGGGGGAGCAC